rnacentral:rRNA from 1 species
UACGGAGGGUGCAAGCGUUAUCCGGAUUCACUGGGUUUAAAGGGUGCGUAGGUGGGUCUGUAAGUCAGUGGUGAAAUCUCCGGGCUUAACCCGGAAACUGCCAUUGAUACUAUAGGUCUUGAAUUUUCUGGAGGUCAGCGGAAUAAUGUCAUGUAGCGGUGAAAUGCUUAGAUAUGACAUAGAACACCAAUUGCGAAGCAGCUGGCUACAGGAACAUUGACACUGAGGCACGAAAGCGUGGGGAUCAAACAGG